GUGAACGCUGGCGGUAGGCCUAACACAUGCCAGUCGAACGGCAGCACAGUAAGAGCUUGCUCUUACGGGUGGCGAGUGGCGGACGGGUGAGGAAUACAUCGGAAUCUACUUUUUCGUGGGGGAUAACGUAGGGAACUUAAGCCAAUAACCCAUUCCGACCUAGGGUGGAAAGAGGGGACUCUUGGGCCUUUGGGGGGUGGAUGGACCGAUGUCGGAUUAGCUAGUUGGCGGGGGUAAGGCCCACCAAGGCGACGGUCCGUAGCUGGUCUGAGAGGAUGAUCAGCCACACUGGAACUGAGACACGGUCCAGACUCCUACGGGAGGCAGCAGUGGGGAAUAUUGGACAAUGGGCGCAAGCCUGAUCCAGCCAUACCGCGUGGGUGAAGAAGGCCUUCGGGUUGUAAAGCCCUUUUGUUGGGAAAGAAAAGCAGCAGGUUAAUACCCCGCUGUUCUGACGGUACCCAAAGAAUAAGCACCGGCUAACUUCGUG
rnacentral:rRNA from 1 species